GAUGAACGCUGGCGGCGUGCCUAAUACAUGCAAGUCGAGCGAACGGACGAGAAGCUUGCUUCUCUGAUGUUAGCGGCGGACGGGUGAGUAACACGUGGAUAACCUACCUAUAAGACUGGGAUAACUUCGGGAAACCGGAGCUAAUACCGGAUAAUAUUUUGAACCGCAUGGUUCAAAAGUAAAAGACGGUCUUGCUGUCACUUAUAGAUGGAUCCGCGCUGCAUUAGCUAGUUGGUAAGGUAACGGCUUAUCAAGGCAACGAUGCAUAGCCGACCUGAGAGGGUGAUCGGCCACACUGGAACUGAGACACGGUCCAGACUCCUACGGGAGGCAGCAGUAGGGAAUCGUCCGCAAUGGGCGAAAGCCUGACGGAGCAACGCCGCGUGAGUGAUGAAGGUCUUCGGAUCGUAAAACUCUGUUAUUAGGGAAGAACAUAUGUGUAAGUAACUGUGCACAUCUUGACGGUACCUAAUCAGAAAGCCACGGCUAACUACGUG
rnacentral:rRNA from 1 species